rnacentral:rRNA from 1 species
UACGUAGGGCGCAAGCGUUAUCCGGAAUUAUUGGGCGUAAAGAGCUCGUAGGCGGCUUGUCGCGUCGGAUGUGAAAGCCCGGGGCUUAACUCCGGGUCUGCAUUCGAUACGGGCAGGCUAGAGUGUGGUAGGGGAGAUCGGAGUUCCUGGUGUAGCGGUGAAAUGCGCAGAUAUCAGGAGGAACACCGGUGGCGAAGGCGGAUCUCUGGGCCAUUACUGACGCUGAGGAGCGAAAGCGUGGGGAGCGAACAGG